CCUACGGGAGGCAGCAGUAGGGAAUCUUCCGCAAUGGACGAAAGUCUGACGGAGCAACGCCGCGUGAGUGAUGAAGGCUUUCGGGUCGUAAAACUCUGUUGUUAGGGAAGAACAAGUGCUAGUUGAAUAAGCUGGCACCUUGACGGUACCUAACCAGAAAGCCACGGCUAACUACGUGCCAGCAGCCGCGGUAAUACGUAGGUGGCAAGCGUUAUCCGGAAUUAUUGGGCGUAAAGCGCGCGCAGGUGGUUUCUUAAGUCUGAUGUGAAAGCCCACGGCUCAACCGUGGAGGGUCAUUGGAAACUGGGAGACUUGAGUGCAGAAGAGGAAAGUGGAAUUCCAUGUGUAGCGGUGAAAUGCGUAGAGAUAUGGAGGAACACCAGUGGCGAAGGCGACUUUCUGGUCUGUAACUGACACUGAGGCGCGAAAGCGUGGGUAGCGAACAGGAUUAGAUACCCUGGUAGUCCACGCCGUAAACGAUGAGUGCUAAGUGUUAGAGGGUUUCCGCCCUUUAGUGCUGAAGUUAACGCAUUAAGCACUCCGCCUGGGGAGUACGGCCGCAAGGCUGAAACUCAAAUGAAUU
rnacentral:rRNA from 1 species